rnacentral:rRNA from 1 species
CCUACGGGAGGCAGCAGUAGGGAAUCUUCCACAAUGGGCGAAAGCCUGAUGGAGCAACGCCGCGUGGGUGAAGAAGGUCUUCGGAUCGUAAAACCCUGUUGUUAGAGAAGAAAGUGCUUGAGAGUAACUGUUCACGUUUCGACGGUAUCUAACCAGAAAGCCACGGCUAACUACGUGCCAGCAGCCGCGGUAAUACGUAGUGGGCAAGCGUUGUCCGGAUUUAUUGGGCGUAAAGGGAACGCUGGCGGUCUUUUAAGUCUGAUGGGAAAGGCUUGGGCUUAACCGGCGUAGUGCAUGGGAAACUGGAAGGCUUGAGUGGAGAAGAGGGGAGUGGAAUUCCAUGUGUAGCGGUGAAAUGCGUAGAUAUGUGGAAGAACACCAGUGGCGAAAGCGGCUUUCUGGUCUGUAACUGACGCUGAGGUUCGAAAGCGUGGGUAGCAAACAGGAUUAGAUACCCCUGUAGUC